rnacentral:rRNA from 1 species
UACGUAGGGUGCAAGCGUUGUCCGGAAUUAUUGGGCGUAAAGAGCUUGUAGGCGGUUUGUCGCGUCUGCUGUGAAAUUUCGGGGCUCAACCCCGAACUUGCAGUGGGUACGGGCAGACUAGAGUGUGGUAGGGGAGACUGGAAUUCCCGGUGUAGCGGUGAAAUGCGCAGAUAUCGGGAAGAACACCUAUGGCGAAGGCAGCUCUCUGGGACGGUACUGACGCUGAGACGCGAAAGCGUGGGGAGCGAACAGG